GAGGGUAUAGCUCAGUGGUAGAGUGCAUGCUUAGCAUGCAUGAGGUCCUGGGUUCGAUCCCCUGUACCUCCA
rnacentral:tRNA from 1 species